UACGAAGGGAGCUAGCGUUGUUCGGAAUCACUGGGCGUAAAGCGCACGUAGGCGGAUUUGUCAGUCAGGGGUGAAAUCCCGGGGCUCAACCCCGUGACUGCAUCCGAUACUGUCAGGCUAGAGGUAGGUAGGGGAGAUCGGAAUUCCUGGUGUAGCGGUGAAAUGCGCAGAUAUCAGGAGGAACACCGGUGGCGAAGGCGGAUCUCUGGGCCUUACCUGACGCUCAGGCGCGAAAGCUAGGGGAGCGAACAGG
rnacentral:rRNA from 1 species